rnacentral:lncRNA from 1 species
CAUAUUUAAAGUCCAUGUCCAAAUUACAGUAAAAUUAACAGGGCCCAGUAAACUAAACCCAAUUAGCCUAAGCCCAACACCCUAGCCCAACUAGCCUAAACCAGCCUUGACAGAAACCCUAGUAGCAACAGCAUCUAGCAGCGCCGCAAUCGAGCCCAGGGCCUCCCCGAGCGUGCUGCGUCUCCGCGUGCAUGCGCUCCUCCUCCGUACGCCCGUACCUGCAACAAACG